rnacentral:rRNA from 1 species
GGGGGGGGGGCAAGCGUUGUUCGGAAUUACUGGGCGUAAAGGGCGCGUAGGCGGGCAAGACAGUCUUUCGUGAAAUCCCACGGGCUCAACCGUGGAACUGCGGGAGAUACUACUUGUCUUGAGUUCGGGAGAGGAGUGUGGAAUUCCCAGUGUAGCGGUGAAAUGCGUAGAUAUUGGGAGGAACACCGGUGGCGAAGGCGGCACUCUGGACCGUUACUGACGCUGAGGCGCGAAAGCUAGGGGAGCAAACGGGAUUAGAUACCCCGGUAGUCCUAGCUGUAAACGAUGAGCACUUGGUGUAGCGGGUAUCGACCCCUGCUGUGCCGGAGUUAACGCAUUAAGUGCUCCGCCUGGGGAGUACGGUCGCAAAGGCUG